rnacentral:rRNA from 1 species
GAUGAACGCUAGCUACAGGCUUAACACAUGCAAGUCGAGGGGCAGCACGGUGUAGCAAUACACUGGUGGCGACCGGCGCACGGGUGAGUAACACGUGUGCAACCAACCCCGUACCGGGAGAUAACCCGCGGAAACGUGGACUAACAUCCCAUGAUACUCGAGAGCCGCAUGGCUCUAGAUUUAAAAUUCCGGUGGUACGGGACGGGCACGCGCGACAUUAGGUAGUUGGCGGGGUAAGGGCCCACCAAGCCGACGAUGUCUAGGGGUUCUGAGAGGAAGGUCCCCCCACACUGGAACUGAGACACGGUCCAGACUCCUACGGGAGGCAGCAGUGAGGAAUAUUGGGUCAA